CAAGAAAAGACCUGUGUUAUUCCAGGCCCUGACACAGAGGGUGUUGCGUUCACCUCUCUACUGAUGCGAUUAACAUCUCGUAUCCAAUGCUAUCCCAGAAGAAUGGAAAUAUUGGCAUUCAUGUGGCAUCAUGUCUCAAUCUUCCGCCAGGACAUCCCACCGCUGCAAAGUUUAGAUGUCUCACUAAAGAACACAAUCAGCCAAACAUAUAAACAUUAAACUCAAGCUCUUGCAAGCAACAGUGAGGCAAGGCAAGGAACAUCUCUUCAAACUAAUGCACUCUUUGGCAAAGAGCCGAACAUCAAGAUGUCUCUUCAACAUGAUAUUGAUGUCUCUCAGAAUUUCACUGCUAGGGUUUUCAAAUCAGCACUUGCUAUCUAAUCAAAGAGUGCACUGCUUCUAUCAUUUUUACAGCCCUUACAGUGUUUUCAUGGGAAAAUGCAACUUGAGAACAUGGUGCUUGGGGACCUAUGGUUUAUUUGCAAUAGUAGUAGAAAUGUUUAGUGGGCUGGAAGGCUUACAUUGGGCAUCCUUUACUGUUCAUUUUAGUUUUUUAGUAAAAGGGAUCUGUCAUGCCUAAUCAACAUUCAGAUUAAAUAUGUUGUACUGCUUUUGCAUGCUUGAGGACUAGUAAAUGGGUCUGACG